UCAACGACACGCUAAUUACGGUAGCGGCCGUUCUAGUCCUAUUUGCAUGGAGUCGCGAGAGAUAGUCGUCGACGCUUUCCGAGACGUGGAUUCUAGUUGAUUGUCACCACUACAGGUUCCAGUGCGAGUAUUGUGGCCGAGGAUCGAGGCAAGAGCCAGCAGUCUAGCUAGUGGACUCCCGAGUACUAGCGGUAUACCAUUUUGAGUUCAUGUAUCAUCCAUUUUGAUGUACAGAGACAUGUAAAUGAAUGUAUAUAAAGCAUGUAUAUAACUAAAUGUUUUAGUUAUGUGAAGUUUUAAAUUACAGUGGA